GCUGGUGUCGCCCAGCGGCCAGGGCACCUCCUUGUCAGGGAGGACAUCGGGGGUUCGAGUCCCCUCACCAGCGCCA
rnacentral:tRNA from 1 species